rnacentral:rRNA from 4 species
UAAUGAUGGCAGAGAGGUCACACCCGUUCCCAUACCGAACACGGAAGUUAAGCUCUCUAGCGCCGAUGGUAGUUGGGACCUUGUCCCUGUGAGAGUAGGACGUUGCCAGGC